UAUUAUUCUGAAGUCAGUCAGAAGACAGUCACUAAAUGAACAGUGUCACGGCCCUGUCCUGUGAACUGCAGAAAGAAUUGAUCCAAAGCACCAAGAAAUCAAGCUUGCGUAGCCAGAAGCUUUUGCGUUCAUUUUCUUGCGUAGAGUAUAUUUCAGGCCUCAUGCAGACUCUGCAGAGAAUAAGCAACAGGGGAAGCUGAUGCAUGACAGCAGGAACGUGAUGGAUGUUUCUGGAAGACCUCUGACGGAGCUGCUGAGACUCCAGCAGCUUUUGUGUCAGUACCAAGGACUCGGAUCUCCAGAGACGUUUAACGGCAUAAAGCUGAACGGAGGAUUUAAAAAGAGCGUGUGAUGAGUCUGAGCUACAGAUGGACAUCAAGGACACACGUACAGGGACAAGGAUAAUGCAGCAUUCAGCAAAUGUGUCUUCAGACCAUCAUUCAGAGAGCCUAGAGGUUCCAGUAUCACUUGUUUUAUUUCUGGAUAUCCAUAUACAUGACAAUAUAGUUUUGUUAUUUGUUAUUUUUGUACUGAGGUUUGUUACAUUAAUGCAAAAAUUCACAGUGUGUAUUUAUAAUGCGAAUACAUGCUUGCAAUUUGUUGGGCAAGCAGAGGUGUAAAGUAACGAAGUACAAAUACUUUGUUACCUUACUUAAGUAGAAAUUUGGGGUAUCUAUACUUUACUUGAGUAAUUAUUUUUCAGACGACUUUUUACUUCUACUCCUCCUUACAUUUUCACGCAAGUAUCUGUAUACAAAAGUCUUUUUAAACCCUAGUAUCUAUACUUGUACUUGAGUAAUGAAUGUCAAUACUUUUGACACCAAGCAUUUUCAUUUACAUGUUUAAACAUGCACUGGCCUUAUUUUUUUUUGGUCAGGAACAAAAUGCGUGUGUUCAGGAUUCCUCCGGUGAGUAAUUAAGCAGCAUUCAGCUCUCUUUAAUGUGAAAACAAGGAAAACAACAUUCAGUCUGCUGAGUAAACUAUUAUGAGCUACAAUCCCACAAUACCCUGCUAACUCCUCUCUUUCCACGUCGACCUCUGUUAAUGCAUACAGUCCCACUGCAGUGUUUUUGUGUUGUGUUCCUUUAUUUGCAGAAGAAAGCGUCUUUCAAAGGCUUUCAGUGAAGUCACAAUGUCAGGAUGAAGCGCACAUGUUCAGCCCAGAGAGAAAGUGUUUUCUGUUUGCUUUUUCCCUUCGGGAUCUACAGUGAAGAACAACGAGCACUCAGAUGAGUUUUCCCGGCGGCACAUCCUCGCAGUCAUUUCUCCCUGCUUUGCCUUUGCUGCUGACCUUGAGUCUUGCUGCGCUUUAAAAAGCCUCUUUAUCUGACUGAAAAACACUGCUUUUAGAGAUGGUCUCCAUGAGGGUGAAUUGAAGAUCGAAGCUCUUUAUUUACACUUUUGUCAGUUGCAUCAAUAAAACAGAUUGUUAUAGUUCACCCAAAAAAGAAAAUUUGCUGAAAAUGUCCUCACCCUCGGGCCGUCCAGGAUGUAGAUGAGUUUGUUUCUUCAUCAGAUUUGGAGAAAUGUAGCAUCACAUCACUUGCUCACCACGAGAUCCUCUGCAGUGAAUGGGUGCCGUCAGAAUAAGAAUGUAGAUUACUGUGUUUUUAUCAGCUGUUUGGACUCAUUCUGACGGCACCCAUUCAUUGCAGAGGAUCCACUAAGCAAGUGAUGCAAUGCUACGUUUCUCCAAAUCUGUUUAAAAACAAACUCAUCUUGAAUGGCCUGAGGGUGAAUGAAUUUUGAUCAAAUUUUCAUUUUUGGGUGAACUAUUCCUUUAAAUAAACAACCAUUUUUUUUGUGUGUGUAUAACAAAGUCAUGAAAGUGUUCAGAGAUGUAGGCCCCUUUAUUCGUCCCCUCCCAUUUUGUGUGUUUUCCUCUUGACUAAAGGUGAAAAUCCACUCAAAGUGUUUCUUCUGCUGCUGUCGGAGGACUUCUUUGUCUCUCAAGGUUAUCAAACACUCACACAGAAUAAGAGGUGCUCAAAAGCUGACCAAACAUCUCUGGGUCAGAAAGGAACAAACGAGAAGCACUUUCACAGAAAGUUGAAAGACAUGUCGGGGUUUGCAGAAUAAACAGAUGUGGAGGAUUUUGCUGUUCUUAGCGUUUGUAAACUGCAUUUUUCCAUCUCAAAAUAUAUAUCUAAAUCAUGACCUAUGCUCUCAAUGUCUAAGGAAAAGAUUGCGAUCAAGUAGCACACCUAGGUUCCUAACAGAUGACGAAGAAUUGACAAAGCAACCAUCAAGUCUUAGACAGUGUUCUAGGUUAUUACAUGCAGAUUUUUUAGGUUCUAUAAUUAACACCUCUGUUUUUUUCAGAAUUUAGAAGUAAAAAAUUAUUCCUCUUCUAGGUUUUUAUAUCAACUAUGCAUUCCUUUAGUUUUCCAAACUGGUAUGAGUCUCUGGGCCACAAAGAAAUACAGAGCUGAGUGUCAUCAGCAUAACAGUGAAAGCUAACACUGUGCUUCCUAAUGAUAUCUCUCAAGGGUAACAUGUAAAGCGUGAAAAGUAACGGCAAUAGCAUUGAGCCCUGAGGUACUCCAUACUGCACUUGUGAUCGAUGUGAUACCUCUUCAUUCGUGACAAUGAACUGAUGGCGAUCAGAUAAUUAUGAUUUGAACCAUGCUAAUGCACUUCCAUUUACACCAGCAAAGUAUACUUGUCUAUUCAAGAGAAUGUAGUGGUCAAUAGUGUCGAACGCAGGGCUAAGAUCCAAUAGCACUAAUAGAAAGAUACAACCACGAUCAAAUGAUAAGAGCAGGUAAUUGUAACUCUAAGGGGAGCAGUCUCAGUAAUAUGAUAUAUCUAAAUGUCUAAAUCCUGACUGGCAAUCCUCACAUAUAACAUUUUUAUCUAAGAAGGUAUAUAAUUGUGAGGAUACUACCUUUUCUAGUAUCUUGGAUAGAAAAGGAAGUUUCGGGAUCGGUCUGUAAUUAACUAGUUCUUUGUGUUCUAGUUGUGAUGUUUUUAUGAGAUGCUUAAUAACAGCCACUUUGAAGGUUUUGGGGACAUAUUCUUAAAUCAAUAAAUUAAUAACAGAAGAGGAUCUAUGACUUCUGGAAGCACUUCUUUUAGGAGCUUAGAUGGAAUAGGGUCUAACAUACAUGUUGGUCCCUAAUGAUGGGUUUAUUUGAUUAAUUAUGUUAUUAAUUAAUCAAUGCACUUUAAGGAAUAGUGUCAAAUAAAGUUUUUCUCACUGCGUAUGAAUUCAGUGAAUUGGAAACACAGAACAUAAGCUGUCUGGCAACUACCACAAUCAAACAUCAAACUUUUACAAAACCAAAGGAGGGGAUGUGUCUUUUCAAGCUCCAGCACAUCACACUUGAGAAACAGCCAGCUGACAGAUUGACUGACUUUGAGCAGAGGUCACUUAUUAAAAGUUUGUCUGAGGGAUUUCAGCAAAGCUCGCUUUUUCCUCCACGUCCUGCGAGAAACCCCAGAGGCUGGAGCAGUGUCGCGGUAAGGAUACGCCCCAGUGCUUUAUAUUAAUGGUGACUUUGGAGCUCCUAACGCCCAUUCUCAGGGUUACAGCCCCCUGGGUGCCCACUGAGAGGAAUACGGAAAGUGAUAUGGGAGCAAGACAGAGAUGGUAAAAAAUCCAUUUCCCCCUGCCAUGUGUCCUUUCUGGUCACUAGGGUCCCUCUCGCUCUCUCUCACUCAAGGUGAACUGAGCACGGGGUCUGUCAGCACUGACCCCGUCACUAAUGAUUUCAAAUGAUGAUCUCACGCUGGAAACAAUAACGACAUCACCUCUGUCUCUCUCUCUCGAUCAGAGAGGGCACCUUUAUUCAUCGGCAGUUUGCCAUGACGCCCACUGGGAGGAAAAACAAGCGUGCUGCCUGUGACCAAGGGCUCCAGCAACAUCCCCGCUGGUGCACAGGGCACCCCUUCGUUACCGAGCUUUCCUUAUGACUUCGAUGACAUUAGCAGGAGGAACGUCCUGCCGACUAUAUCCUCCGCCGCUGGUCACUCAGAGAUGGGUUUGCUUUGAAAAAUGGCUUCAUGUGGCUUUUAAAAGAAAAGCUUCACUCCAGUGAGACUGUUGAACUUGUUGUGGAAAUAUGAAAAUUUUAGCAUGACAUGAUGCCCUGUUUGUUGUGGUGUCUGAAGAAAUUUCACUUUUCAUUUUUCUGCAUUGCACUGUUACUCCUUCUGUGUUUCUGCUUGAAUCUACUGUGCCAUGUCCAUGGUGCGAAUUAAACGUAAUGAUAAAAACUGUGUAAAGCAAAACAAAGGUAAGAGCAGUGCAUGAACAAAUGACUCUUAUGAACAGAUUUUUGUGGGUGAAUCAAAUAUACACUGAAAGUCACAUAGUCUGAUUAACAAAUGACUCUUAUGAACCAAUACUAAUGAGUGAAUCAAGCACACACUGCACAAGAAGUCUGAUUUAUGAAUGACUCUCUUGAUCUGCCUCAGUAUGACGACUACUUCAUCCACAUGUAGUUUAUAUUAUAAAUAACUCUGUGUUUUCAGUUCCAAUAAAAGACAAAACUAAACCUCUCGGUAAGUUACCAUAGUAACUUUUUUUUUAAAAAGCAUAGGGAAUGUUUAACUGCCGCAUUCAUGCUGCAAAAAAUGCUUUAAUUGCUGAGAUUUUUGCCAUAUUUCAAGUUCUUGAAUCAAGGUGUAUUUUCUAUAUAAGAAAAAUUAUAUACAACAGUCUUGUUUCCUGAGGGAAACUAGUAAAAUUAUCUGCCAGUGGGGUAAGAAAAAUAAUCUUAAUGCAAAUGGAAACAAGAUUUUUUUUUCUCUCACAAGUACCACUUUCAUUUUUCACCAUGCAGGCACUGUAAAUGUGACAAAAAUGCACGUCUUCUUACACAAUGGACCUGUAAAUGAGGACGCUGUAUUAAUCCGUGGGUAAUUAUAUUUACAUCUGGAGAGGUUUUAAUUUAUUUAGUUAUUUUUGCCAUAUUCACAUGCUUAAUUAUUUGAGCGGUAUAAUCUUGAUAACAUGAUAACAUGCUGAAACCUCUGGAAGUAACCUAGUAAUUGGAAUUUCCUUUAAGAUUUCCAGUGUGGUUGCAUUGAUGGCACACAUAUUCCUUUUUUCACACCUUCUGAAAAUGAAGCUGAUAACACUCUUAGAAAAAAGGGUUCUAUAUAGAACCAUAGGGUUCUUUACUCAACUCCAAAGAACCUUUUAUGCUAAAAAGGUUCUAUAAUGACAAAAAAGAACUCUUUUGGCACAAACGUUCUUUGGGAUAUUAUUAUUCAUAUAUUGCAUUAUUCUGCAACAUUUUGUAUUUGUAAUUAAAUUAUUGUUUGUAGUAACUUUUAAUCAUGCUGAUUUUUGGAGAAAAACUGAAAUGACACUCUUCGUGUGAGAUUUACAUAAAAUGAUAUAAAUAUAUACAUUUUCUAACCCCCAUAACUUGAAUUUUGUGAUCAUACACAUGCAUUCAUAAAUGCAUUUGAAUACACCGAAUAAUGCAGUGAAAGAAC
rnacentral:lncRNA from 1 species